rnacentral:rRNA from 1 species
UACGGGGGGGGGCAAGCGUUGUUCGGAAUUACUGGGCGUAAAGGGCGCGUAGGCGGCCUUCUAAGUCGAACGUGAAAUCCCCGGGCUCAACCCGGGAACUGCGUCCGAUACUGGAAGGCUUGAAUCCGGGAGAGGGAUGCGGAAUUCCAGGUGUAGCGGUGAAAUGCGUAGAUAUCUGGAGGAACACCGGUGGCGAAGGCGGCAUCCUGGACCGGCAUUGACGCUGAGGCGCGAAAGCCAGGAGAGCAAACGGG